UUCAGGCCUAACACAUGCAAGUCGAGCGAGAAAGCCUCUUCGGAGGUGAGUACAGCGGCGGACGGUUGAGUAACACGUGAGAAUUUGCCCUUCAGUGAAGAAUACCCUCGAGAAAUCGAGGCUAAUGCUGCAUACGUCCCUCCGGGGAGAAAGGCGGCCUCUUGCUGUCGCUGAAGGAUGAGCUUGCGGGCUAUCAGUUUGUUGGUGGGGUAAAGGCCUACCAAGACUAUGACGGCUAGCCGGCCUGAGAGGGUGAUCGGCCAGACUGGAACUUAGAUACGGUCCAGACUCCUACGGGAGGCAGCAGUGAGGAAUAUUGCGCAAUGGGCGAAAGCCUGACGCAGCGACGCCGCGUGGAGGAUGACGGUCUUCGGAUUGUAAACUCCUGUUAAGUGGGAAGAAAAGCUCGUUGCCAAUACCAACGAGUCAUGACGGUACCAUUAGAGAAAGCACCGGCUAACUUCGCGCCAGCAGCCGCGGUAAUACGAGGGGUGCUAGCGUUAUUCGGAAUCAUUGGGCGUAAAGGGCGUGUAGACGGCGCACUAAGUCAACUGUUAAAUACCUCAGCCUAACUGAGGAUCAGCGGUAGAUACUGGUGUGCUAGAGGAUGGAAGAGAGAAGUGGAAUUCUCGGAGUAGCGGUAAAAUGCGUAGAUCUCGAGAGGAACACCGAUGGCGAAGGCAGCUUCUUGGUCCAUACCUGACGUUGAGGCGCGAAAGCGUGGGGAGCAAACAGGAUUAGAUACCCUGGUAGUCCACGCUGUAAACGAUGAUCACUGGACGUCAGUUCUGUUUUACAGGAUUGGUGUCGAAGCUAACGCGUUAAGUGAUCCGCCUGGGGACUACGGUCGCAAGAUUAAAACUCAAAGGAAUUGACGGGGGUCCGCACAAGCGGUGGAACA
rnacentral:rRNA from 1 species